rnacentral:misc_RNA from 1 species
GAAAUGCGAUAAGUAAUGUGAAUUGCAGAAUUCAGUGAAUCAUCGAAUCUUUGAACGCACAUUGCGCCCGCCAGUAUUCUGGCGGGCAUGCCUGUCCGAGCGUCAUUUCAACCAUCAAGCCCCCGGGCUUGUGUUGGGGACCUGCGGCUGCCCGCAGGCCCUGAAAACCAGUGGCGGGCUCGCUGUCACACCGAGCGUAGUAGCAAUCACCUCGCUCAGGGCGUGCUGCGGGUUCCGGCCGUUAAACCACCUUCGUAACCCAAGGUUGACCUCGGAUCAGGUAGGAAGACCCGCUGAACUUAAGC